GGGCCCGAAGCUUUAGCAGAUGAGCACCGGUUUCUUAAACCGGCGAACCAGGUGCAAGUCCUGGCGGACCCA
rnacentral:tRNA from 1 species